CAGUAGCCGCGGUAAUACGAAGGGUGCAAGCGUUGUCCGGAAUUAUUGGGCGUAAAGGGCUCACAGGCGGUUUCUUAAGUCAGAUGUGAAAGCCCCCGGCUCAACCGGGGAGGGUCAUUGGAAACUGGGAAACUUGAGUGCAGAAGAGGAGAGUGGAAUUCCACGUGUAGCGGUGAAAUGCGUAGAGAUGUGGAGGAACACCAGUGACGAAGGCGACUCUCUGGUCUGUAACUGACGCUGAGGAGCGAAAGCGUGGGGAGCGAACAGGAUUAGAGACCCGCGUAGUCCCUGUCUCUUAUAC
rnacentral:rRNA from 1 species